rnacentral:rRNA from 1 species
AACGAACGCUGGCGGCAUGCCUAACACAUGCAAGUCGAACGAGACCUUCGGGACUAGUGGCGCAUGGGUGCGUCACGCGUGGGAACCUGCACUUAGGUUCGGAAUAACUCUACGAAAGGGGUGAUAAUACCGAACAAUGUCUUCGGACCAAUGAUUUAUUGCCCUUGUAUGGGCACGCGUUGGAUUAGCUAGUUGGUAGGGUAAAAGACUACUACGGCGUCGAUCCAUAGCUGGUAUGAGAGACUGAUCAGCCACACUGGGACUGAGACACGGCCCAGACUCCUACGGGAUGCAGCAGUGGCGAAUAUUGGACAGUGGCCGGAAGCCUGAUCCAGCAAUGCCGCGUGAAUGAUGAAGUCCUUAGGGUUGUAAAGCUCAUGUACCCGGGAUGAUAAUGACGGUACCGGGAGAAUAAGCUCCGGCUAACUCCGUG